rnacentral:rRNA from 1 species
AGCGAACGCUGGCGGCAGGCUUAACACAUGCAAGUCGAGCGGGCCCUUCGGGGUCAGCGGCGGACGGGUGAGUAACGCGUGGGAACGUGCCUUCUGGUUCGGAAUAACUCAGGGAAACUUGAGCUAAUACCGGAUACGCCCUUUUGGGGAAAGGUUUACUGCCGGAAGAUCGGCCCGCGUCUGAUUAGCUAGUUGGUGGGGUAACGGCCUACCAAGGCGACGAUCAGUAGCUGGUCCGAGAGGAUGAUCAGCCACACUGGGACUGAGACACGGCCCAGACUCCUACGGGAGGCAGCAGUGGGGAAUAUUGGACAAUGGGCGCAAGCCUGAUCCAGCCAUGCCGCGUGAGUGAUGAAGGCCUUAGGGUUGUAAAGCUCUUUUAUCCGGGACGAUAAUGACGGUACCGGAGGAAUAAGCCCCGGCUAACUUCGUG